rnacentral:SRP_RNA from 1 species
GCUGGGUGCAGUGGCACGUGCCUCCCGAAUAGUCCCAGCUAUUCGGGAGGCUGAGGCUGGAGGAUCGCUUGAGCCCAAGAGUUCUGGGCUGUAGUGCGCUAUGCCGAUUGGGUGUCCACACUAAGUUCGGCAUCAGUAUGGUGACCUCCCAGGAGUGGGGGACCACCAGGUUGCCUAAGGAGGGGUGAACCAGCCCAGGUCGGAAAGGAGCAGAUCAAAACUCCUGUGCUGAUCAGUAGUAGGAUCACGCCUGUGAAUAGCCACUGCACUCUAGCCUGGGCAACAUAGCAAGACCCCGUUUCA